UAAGGCCUACGGGAGGAGCAGUGGGGAAUAUUGCACAAUGGGGGAAACCCUGAUGCAGCAACGCCGCGUGAGUGAAGAAGUCAUUCGUGAUGUAAAGCUCUAUCAGCAGGGAAGAAAAUGACGGUACCUGAGUAAGAAGCCCCGGCUAACUACGUGCCAGCAGCCGCGGUAAUACGUAGGGGGCAAGCGUUAUCCGGAUUUACUGGGUGUAAAGGGAGCGUAGACGGUUAUGUAAGUCUGGAGUGAAAGCCCGGGGCCCAACCCCGGGACUGCUUUGGAAACUGUGUAACUGGAGUACAGGAGGG
rnacentral:rRNA from 1 species